UUUAAGCUGGGUAGUUCGAGGGAGGCAACAGAUUGAUCCAGGCAGAGCACGGGAAUCGAUCGUCAGAGAACUUUGGAUUAACUUCGGAAGAGAUUUUACGGUAUAAGAUACAAUUAGAUUUCGACAAUGCAGAGAAUACACAUUCUGAUUUUGGUGGUAGCGAUUGUGCUCAUGACAGAAAUGACGUCGAAUGGAGGAGUAGAGGCGGGCGUUGAGAUUGUUUACCCGAAAGAGGGCCAAUAUUGGCGCCAAAUUAUCCAGAAGAAUAAGAGAAUGCAGGAUAAACGAGAAAACGACGUCGUUGACGCUGUGGAUGAAUUCGACCGGAAGUGAUCUCACUGUUGACAUCAUUUCAGUAUACGGUAUGGAAAUCAUGUAACUGCGUGAAUAUAAUACGUCUGUGGUGUUAGUUUGUGCAUAAACGCUUAUGUUUAUUAGCGGAUAGGAAAUCUAUUGAUGAUAUUGGGAUUUCAACACAAUGACAUUUGAUUUCAAUUCUAUGUUUCCAUCGUGGAGAUUGAGUGGGGCAUAAAAAUGUCGUGAACUUCAGGGUUCAUAACUUUACAGUUUUUCAACAAUGUUGGACACAUCAUGCAGUAUUCCCAAAUAUCGUUUUGUUUUAUACCAACAAUGAAACUGCAGAUCGGUUAGUAUGCCACGGCCGUUCCAAAAUGAAGUUGCCUUAUAAACGACGUCAAUCCGAUCAUUGUGUAACAGUUACCAUCAACGAAUAAAGGAAGAUAACAGGGAAACAAUAUCAAUUACUCUAUAUCA